rnacentral:rRNA from 1 species
GGGCGUUAAGUUGCAGGGUAUAGACCCGAAACCCGGUGAUCUAGCCAUGGGCAGGUUGAAGGUUGGGUAACACUAACUGGAGGACCGAACCGACUAAUGUUGAAAAAUUAGCGGAUGACCUGUGGCUGGGGGUGAAAGGCCAAUCAAACCGGGAGAUAGCUGGUUCUCCCCGAAAGCUAUUUAGGUAGCGCCUCGUGAAUUCAUCUCCGGGGGUAGAGCACUGUUUCGGCUAGGGGGCCAUCCCGGCUUACCAACCCGAUGCAAACUGCGAAUACCGGAGAAUGUUAUCACGGGAGACACACGGCGGGUGCUAACGUCCGUCGUGAAGAGGGAAACAACCCAGACCGCCAGCUAAGGUCCCAAAGUCAUGGUUAAGUGGGAAACGAUGUGGGAAGGCCCAGACAGCCAGGAUGUUGGCUUAGAAGCAGCCAUCAUUUAAAGAAAGCGUAAUAGCUCACUGGUCGAGUCGGCCUGCGCGGAAGAUGUAACGGGGCUAAACCAUGCACCGAAGCUGCGGCAGCGACACUCAGGUGUUGUUGGGUAGGGGAGCGUUCUGUAAGCCUGCGAAGGUGGCCUGUGAGGGUUGCUGGAGGUAUCAGAAGUGCGAAUGCUGACAUAAGUAACGAUAAAGCGGGUGAAAAGCCCGCUCGCCGGAAGACCAAGGGUUCCUGUCCAACGUUAAUCGGGGCAGGGUGAGUCGACCCCUAAGGCGAGGCCGAAAGGCGUAGUCGAUGGGAAACGGGUUAAUAUUCCCGUACUUGGUGUUACUGCGAAGGGGGGACGGAGAAGGCUAUGUUGGCCGGGCGACGGUUGUCCCGGUUUAAGCGUGUAGGUGUGUGUUCCAGGUAAAUCCGGUUCACUUUAACACUGAGGCGUGACGACGAGGCACUACGGUGCUGAAGCAACAAAUGCCCUGCUUCCAGGAAAAGCCUCUAAGCAUCAGGUAACAUCAAAUCGUACCCCAAACCGACACAGGUGGUCAGGUAGAGAAUACCAAGGCGCUUGAGAGAACUCGGGUGAAGGAACUAGGCAAAAUGGUGCCGUAACUUCGGGAGAAGGCACGCUGACAUGUAGGUGAAGUGAUUUACUCAUGGAGCUGAAGUCAGUCGAAGAUACCAGCUGGCUGCAACUGUUUAUUAAAAACACAGCACUGUGCAAACACGAAAGUGGACGUAUACGGUGUGACGCCUGCCCGGUGCCGGAAGGUUAAUUGAUGGGGUCAGCGCAAGCGAAGCUCCUGAUCGAAGCCCCGGUAAACGGCGGCCGUAACUAUAACGGUCCUAAGGUAGCGAAAUUCCUUGUCGGGUAAGUUCCGACCUGCACGAAUGGCGUAAUGAUGGCCAGGCUGUCUCCACCCGAGACUCAGUGAAAUUGAACUCGCUGUGAAGAUGCAGUGUACCCGCGGCAAGACGGAAAGACCCCGUGAACCUUUACUAUAGCUUGACACUGAACAUUGAGCCUUGAUGUGUAGGAUAGGUGGGAGGCUUUGAAGUGUGGACGCCAGUCUGCAUGGAGCCGGCCUUGAAAUACCACCCUUUAAUGUUUGAUGUUCUAACGUGGACCCGUGAUCCGGGUUGCGGACAGUGUCUGGUGGGUAGUUUGACUGGGGCGGUCUCCUCCUAAAGAGUAACGGAGGAGCACGAAGGUUGGCUAAUCCUGGUCGGACAUCAGGAGGUUAGUGCAAUGGCAUAAGCCAGCUUGACUGCGAGCGUGACGGCGCGAGCAGGUGCGAAAGCAGGUCAUAGUGAUCCGGUGGUUCUGAAUGGAAGGGCCAUCGCUCAACGGAUAAAAGGUACUCCGGGGAUAACAGGCUGAUACCGCCCAAGAGUUCAUAUCGACGGCGGUGUUUGGCACCUCGAUGUCGGCUCAUCACAUCCUGGGGCUGAAGUAGGUCCCAAGGGUAUGGCUGUUCGCCAUUUAAAGUGGUACGCGAGCUGGGUUUAGAACGUCGUGAGACAGUUCGGUCCCUAUCUGCCGUGGGCGCUGGAGAACUGAGGGGGGCUGCUCCUAGUACGAGAGGACCGGAGUGGACGCAUCACUGGUGUUCGGGUUGUCAUGCCAAUGGCACUGCCCGGUAGCUAAAUGCGGAAGAGAUAAGUGCUGAAAGCAUCUAAGCACGAAACUUGCCCCGAGAUGAGUUCUCCCUGAGACUUUAGGUCUCCUGAAGGAACGUUGAAGACGACGACGUUGAUAGGCCGGGUGUGUAAGCGCAGCGAUGCGUUGAGCUAACCGGUACUAAUGAACCGUGAGGCUUAACCUUACAACGCCGAAG